GUACGUACAAGCAGUGGGAGCCCCACCACCAAAGCAUUCUCUGGUGUUGAAGGCCCUGCAAAGCAGCAUCGCGGUGGCGGAGCGUCGUUUGCGACGCCCAACACACAAAACAAGCGGUGAAUGCUUUGGGGUGGGGUGACUGCGUACCUUUUGUAUAAUGGGUCAGCGACUUAUAUUCUGUAGCAAGGUUAACCGAAUAGGGGAGCCGGAGGGAAACCGAGUCUUAAUUGGGCGUUAAGUUGCAGGGUAUAGACCCGAAACCCGGUGAUCUAGCCAUGGGCAGGUUGAAGGUUGGGUAACACUAACUGGAGGACCGAACCGACUAAUGUUGAAAAAUUAGCGGAUGACCUGUGGCUGGGGGUGAAAGGCCAAUCAAACCGGGAGAUAGCUGGUUCUCCCCGAAAGCUAUUUAGGUAGCGCCUCGUGAAUUCAUCUCCGGGGGUAGAGCACUGUUUCGGCUAGGGGGCCAUCCCGGCUUACCAACCCGAUGCAAACUGCGAAUACCGGAGAAUGUUAUCACGGGAGACACACGGCGGGUGCUAACGUCCGUCGUGAAGAGGGAAACAACCCAGACCGCCAGCUAAGGUCCCAAAGUCAUGGUUAAGUGGGAAACGAUGUGGGAAGGCCCAGACAGCCAGGAUGUUGGCUUAGAAGCAGCCAUCAUUUAAAGAAAGCGUAAUAGCUCACUGGUCGAGUCGGCCUGCGCGGAAGAUGUAACGGGGCUAAACCAU
rnacentral:rRNA from 1 species